GUGGGGAAUAUUGGACAAUGGGCGCAAGCCUGAUCCAGCCAUACCGCGUGGGUGAAGAAGGCCUUCGGGUUGUAAAGCCCUUUUGUUGGGAAAGAAAUCCUGUCGGUUAAUACCUGGCGGGGAUGACGGUACCCAAAGAAUAAGCACCGGCUAACUUCGUGCCAGCAGCCGCGGUAAUACGAAGGGUGCAAGCGUUACUCGGAAUUACUGGGCGUAAAGCGUGCGUAGGUGGUGGUUUAAGUCCGUUGUUAAAGCCCUGGGCUCAACCUGGGAAUUGCAGUGGAUACUGGAUCACUAGAGUGUGGUAGAGGGAUGCGGAAUUUCUGGUGUAGCAGUGAAAUGCGUAGAGAUCAGAAGGAACAUCCGUGGCGAAGGCGGCAUCCUGGGCCAACACUGACACUGAGGCACGAAAGCGUGGGGAGCAAACAGGAUUAGAUACCCUUGUAGUCC
rnacentral:rRNA from 1 species